GAGGGUAUAGCUCAGCGGUAGAGUGCGUGCUUAGCAUACAUGGAGUCCUGGGUUCAAACCCCAGUACCUCCA
rnacentral:tRNA from 1 species